CAAGAUUUUUUUUUUUUGCAUCUAUCAGAUUUAGACGAAUCACAAAAUGACCCUUGGCCUGAUGAAAUUCCCCGAAUUCCGC